rnacentral:rRNA from 1 species
GAUGAACGCUGGCGGCGUGCCUAAUACAUGCAAGUCGAGCGAACAGACGAGGAGCUUGCUCCUCUGACGUUAGCGGCGGACGGGUGAGUAACACGUGGAUAACCUACCUAUAAGACUGGGAUAACUUCGGGAAACCGGAGCUAAUACCGGAUCAUAUAUUGAACCGCAUGGUUCAAUAGUGAAAGACGGUUUUGCUGUCACUUAUAGAUGGAUCCGCGCCGCAUUAGCUAGUUGGUAAGGUAACGGCUUACCAAGGCAACGAUGCGUAGCCGACCUGAGAGGGUGAUCGGCCACACUGGAACUGAGACACGGUCCAGACUCCUACGGGAGGCAGCAGUAGGGAAUCUUCGGCAAUGGGCGAAAGCCUGACGGAGCAACGCCGCGUGAGUGAUGAAGGUCUUCGGAUCGUAAAACUCUGUUAUUAGGGAAGAACAAAUGUGUAAGUAACUAUGCACGUCUUGACGGUACCUAAUCAGAAAGCCACGGCUAACUACGUG